rnacentral:rRNA from 1 species
AUUGAACGCUGGCGGCAUGCCUUACACAUGCAAGUCGAACGGUAACAGGUUAAGCUGACGAGUGGCGAACGGGUGAGUAAUAUAUCGGAACGUGCCCAGUCGUGGGGGAUAACUGCUCGAAAGAGCAGCUAAUACCGCAUACGGCCUGAGGGUGAAAGCGGGGGAUCGCAAGACCUCGCGCGAUUGGAGCGGCCGAUAUC